rnacentral:rRNA from 1 species
AUUGAACGCUGGCGGCAGGCCUAACACAUGCAAGUCGAGCGGAUGAAGCGUGCUUGCUCCUGGAUUCAGCGGCGUCCGGGGGCGUACUGCCUAGUAAUCUGCCUGGUAGUGGGGGAUAACGUCCGGAAACGGGCGCUAAUACCGCAUACGUCCUGAAUGAGGACGUGAGGGAUCUUCGGACCUCACGCUAUCAUAUGACCCUGGGUCGGGUUAGCUAGUUGGUGGGGUAAAGGCCCACCGAGGCGACGAUCCGUAGCUGAUCUGAGAGGAUGAUCAGUUACCCUGGAAUGGAGACACGGCCCAGACUAAUAUGCGAGGCAGCAGUGGGGAAUAUUGGACAGGGGGCGAAAGCCUAAUCCAGCCAUGCCGCGUGGGGGAAAAAGGUCUUGGGAUAGGAAAGGUAUUUAGGUUGGGAGGAAGGGCAGUAAGUUAAUAGCUUGCUUUUUUGAAGGUACCAAAAGAAUAAGCACCGGCUAACUUCGUG